GAUGAACGCUGGCGGUAUGCUUAACACAUGCAAGUCGAACGGACGCUUCGGAGUUAGUGGCGGCUGGGGGAGUAACGCGUGAGAAGCGGGAUUUGGGGUCGGGACAACCACAGGAAACGGUGGCUAAUACGGGAUGUGCCGUAAGGUAAAAGAGCAAUUGCCUGACGAUGAGGUCGCGUCGGAGUAGCGAGUUGGUGCGGUACAGGGCCGGCAAGGCAGCGAUCAAUAGCAGGUCUGAGCUGACGACCAGCCAAGCUGGGACUGGGAGACGGCCCAGACGCCUACGGGAGGAAGCAGUGGGGCAUGUCCCGCAAUGGGCGAAUGCCUGACGGAGCACUACGGCGUGAGGGAAGAUGUCUUUUGGGUUGUAAACAUGUGUAAUUAGCGAAGCACAAAAUGACGGUACCUAAGGAAUCAGCAUCGGCUAACUCCGUG
rnacentral:rRNA from 1 species